UACGUAGGGUGCAAGCGUUAAUCGGAAUUACUGGGCGUAAAGCGUGCGCAGGCGGUUAUGUAAGACAGAGGUGAAAUCCCCGGGCUCAACCUGGGAACUGCCAUUAAAACUUUUCAGCUAGAGUAUGAUAGAGGAAAGCAGAAUUUCUAGUGUAGAGGUGAAAUUCGUAGAUAUUAGAAAGAAUACCAAUUGCGAAGGCAGCUUUCUGGAUCAUUACUGACACUGAGGAACGAAAGCAUGGGUAGCGAAGAGGAUUAGAUACCCUCGUAGUCCAUGCCGUAAACGAUGUGUGUUAGACGUUGGAAAUUUAUUUUCAGUGUCGCAGCGAAAGCGAUAAACACACCGCCUGGGGAGUACGACCGCAAGGUUAAAACUCAAAUGAAUUGACGGGGACCCGCACAAGUAGUGGAGCAUGUGGUUUAAUUCGAAGAUACGCGCAGAACCUUACCAACACUUGACAUGUUCGUCGCGACUCUAAGAGAUUAGAGUUUUCGGUUCGGCCGGACGAAACACAGGUGCUGCAUGGCUGUCGUCAGCUCGUGUCGUGAGAUGUUGGGUUAAGUCCCGCAACGAGCGCAACCCUCACUUUUAGUUGCCAUCAUUAAGUUGGGCACUCUGAAAGAACUGCCAGUGAUAAGCUGGAGGAAGGUGGGGAUGACGUCAAGUCCUCAUGGCCCUUACGUGUUGGGCUACACACGUGCUACAAUGGUAUCUACAACAGGAAGCAAGACUGCGAGGUCAAGCAAAUCCUUAAAAGAUACCUCAGUUCGGAUUGCACUCUGCAACUCGAGUGCAUGAAGCUGGAAUUACUAGUAAUCGUGGAUCAGCGUGCCACGGUGAAUGCGUUCCCGGGUCU
rnacentral:rRNA from 1 species